UAGUCGGGCCGGACCGGCGCGACGGUGGGUAACGCGUAUCCAACCUGCCCUUUACUAUGGGACAGCCCGUCGAAAGGCGGAUUAAUACCGUAUGUUGUCAUGUUGAUGCAUAUUUUCAUGACCAAAGGCUUCGGCCGGUAAAGGAUGGGGAUGCGUCUGAUUAGCUUGCCGGCGGGGUAACGGCCCACCGGGGCGACGAUCAGUAGGGGUUCUGAGAGGAAGGUCCCCCACAUUGGAACUGAGACACGGUCCAAACUCCUACGGAAGGCAGCAG
rnacentral:rRNA from 1 species